GGGAGAAGGAACAGGGUCAUGUUGAGGAAAGGACUAGUGGAUAUAUAAGGCUUGAGGUCCCAGCCUUCCUCACCAUUCGGCCGCUGCUUUGUCCACGCUUGCGAAGACUUUCCAGACUACAAGAUGGUGAGCAACAGGUUCCUCCUGAUGGCGGCGACGCUGGUGCUGAUGCAGCUGAGCGUCUCUCUGGCGGCGCCCUCGCCCUGGGAGAGGCCCGUGGUGCACGCCGUGGGCGUUGUGGAGCACCGUCGCCCCGUCCACACCGUGAGCGUUGUGGCCACCCCCGUGCGGAGCGUGGGCGUGGUGGCUAGCCCUGUCCGCUACGUGGGCGUGGGCGGCUUCGGUGACGACGACGGCUUCGACGACGACGACGACGACCACCGAUUCGUGGGCAUCCUUGGGUCACACGGCAAGGUCUGGUGAUUCGCCUGACGCGGGUCAGGUCGCCUCGACGACGGCGCUCGGCUGACACACUUCCUUAGCUGACAACAUGUGAACAACCAUCAUGGGCUGCAACUGCUCUUGUUAAAAUGCAUUAAACAAUAAGGCUGCAUCCGAA